rnacentral:rRNA from 1 species
AGAACUGACGGUACUUGAGGAAUAAGCCACGGCUAAUUCCGUGCCAGCAGCCGCGGUAAUACGGGAGUGGCAAGCGUUAUCCGGAAUUAUUGGGCGUAAAGCGUCCGCAGGCGGUCUUGAAAGUCUGUUGUUAAAGCGUGGAGCUCAACUCCAUUUCAGCAAUGGAAACUAGAAGACUAGAGUGUGGUAGGGGCAGAGGGAAUUCCCGGUGUAGCGGUGAAAUGCGUAGAUAUCGGGAAGAACACCAGUGGCGAAGGCGCUCUGCUGGGCCAUAACUGACGCUCAUGGACGAAAGCCAGGGGAGCGAAAGGGAUUAGAUACCCCUGUAGUCCUGGCCGUAAACGAUGAACACUAGGUGUCGGGGGAAUCGACCCCCUCGGUGUCGUAGCCAACGCGUUAAGUGUUCCGCCUGGGGAGUACGCACGCAAGUGUGAAACUCAAAGGAAUUGACGGGGGCCCGCACAAGCGGUGGAGUAUGUGGUUUAAUUCGAUGCAACGCGAAGAACCUUACCAGGGUUUGACAUCCUGCGAAUCUUUUGGAAACAGAAGAGUGCCUUCGGGAGCGCAGAGACAGGUGGUGCAUGGCUGUCGUCAGCUCGUGUCGUGAGAUGUUGGGUUAAGUCCCGCAACGAGCGCAACCCACGUCUUUAGUUGCCAGCAUUAAGUUGGGCACUCUAGAGAGACCGCCGGUGAUAAACCGGAGGAAGGUGUGGAUGACGUCAAGUCAUCAUGCCCCUUACAUCCUGGGCUACACACGUACUACAAUGCUACGGACAAAGGGCAGCAAACUCGCGAGAGCUAGCAAAUCCCAUAAACCGUGGCUCAGUUCAGAUCGUAGGCUGCAACUCGCCUACGUGAAGGAGGAAUCGCUAGUAAUCGCAGGUCAGCAUACUGCGGUGAAUACGUUCCCGGGCCUUGUACACACCGCCCGUCACACCA